AUGCGCGGCGCCACUCCCUCCUACGCCCGUCUCCAUGGCAACCACUUCCCCUUCGCCCUUCGCCCUUUGCCCCCUACGUCCGACGGCAGUGACGGACAGCUCCCUCAGCCUAUCACGGCGCGCCGUCCUCCCACGCGAGUGAAAGGGCGGGCUGGAAACUCCGCGAGCCAACCGGAAGCGAAAGCCGCUGGGCUGGCCCCGCCUUCUCGUGGCACGACCGCAGCCAACCAGCAGGCGAGUUCGGGGGGGCGGGGCCGGCGCGACGGCCAAUGGGCGCGGACGUCGGUCGCCAGGGAGGCGCAAGGCCCGGGGGGGGGAGCAACGGCGGGAGCGCGGUGGGGCCGGGCGGGGGCGGGAGGUAAACAAAAUGGCGGCGGCGUGUGCGCUGCGGCGGCGGCGGAGGGGGUAAAGGGGCGCGGUUCGGCCGGAGCGGGCCCUGGGGCGGAGUUCGCGGGGGCAGAGCGGGGGCGGUGGCCGGUGGGGAUCUCUCUGAGACGGGGGGACGCCAGGGGAGCGCGGCGCCGGGGCUCGGCCCGGUCCGAGGCCCGGGAACGGGGAGGGGAGACGAGGCCGCCAGGCCCCCCGCUCCCUUCCCCGAGUCGGCGGCGCAGCGCGGGGCCUAGUGCUGAGGGAGCGGCCCCAGCCCGCGGGGAAGGGCCCUCCCUGGGCCGCUCCCGGCCCGCGGUGCAGCGCGGAGCCCGGCGGUGGCCCCGUCAGCCCCGCGGCCCAGGAGUGCGCAGGGCGUUCUGUUCCCGCCUCGCUCCUUCCCCCUUCUCGGAAGGCCUGCGCUGUUCCUCCGCCCCGGCUGACACCUGUGGGGGUGGCCCGGGAGGUGCCGGUCCCCCUGCCUGCACCUCCUUCCUUUGGGCAGGGAAUGGGGCGCUCGGGGCACCUGGCACGGGAGUUCGCCGCCUCUUGAGCUGCCCUGCACCUCGGUGCGCCCGCACGGCUCCGGGGGGUUGGCUGUCUGCCGGUGGGGUUUGGCUGUCCAACACCCGCUGA
rnacentral:lncRNA from 1 species